CCUACGGGGGACUGCAGUGGGGAAUAUUGGACAAUGGGGGGAACCCUGAUCCAGCCAUGCCGCGUGUGUGAAGAAGGCCCUCGGGUUGUAAAGCACUUUCAGUGAGGAAGAACGCCUGGUGGUUAAUACCCAUCAGGAAAGACAUCACUCACAGAAGAAGCACCGGCUAACUCCGUGCCAGCAGCCGCGGUAAUACGGAGGGUGCGAGCGUUAAUCGGAAUUACUGGGCGUAAAGCGCGCGUAGGUGGCUUGAUAAGCCGGUUGUGAAAGCCCCGGGCUCAACCUGGGAACGGCAUCCGGAACUGUCAAGCUAGAGUGCAGGAGAGGAAGGUAGAAUUCCCGGUGUAGCGGUGAAAUGCGUAGAGAUCGGGAGGAAUACCAGUGGCGAAGGCGGCCUUCUGGACUGACACUGACACUGAGGUGCGAAAGCGUGGGUAGCAAACAGGAUUAGAUACCCUAGUAGUC
rnacentral:rRNA from 1 species